UCAACAAGCUAGGAAAAUCUAACAAUAUGUGAAUAUAAUAUAAAAGUAAACCUAGUAAUAUGAAAGACAGAUAAAAACAAUUUAAAAAAGAACUUCUAAGGAAAUGGAUACAGCUAAGGAAAAGACAUCUCCCCCACCCCAAAAUCACCAGAAGUCCCCUACAAUAACACAAAGAGAAAAGAGCAGAUGUCAUAUCAAGGAAACAACAUGUACUAUAUAAAAACUGCUCUUGGAAGUGAAAAAUAAAAUAUUGUUAAAAUUUUUAUAGCAGAUAUGGUAAAGAGUAGUGGAAAUCACUCAAUUAUAGGGGGGAAAAAAGAGUAAAAAAAAAAAAAUGACAUCAAGAAUUUCAACACCCAGUAAGAGAAGGUCCCAGAAAGAAAGAAGAGAAAACUGAAUGGAGGAAAAUUUCAGAGGACAAAUAAAAGAUUCCUAGAAAUACAGAUCAUGAUUCUUCUAAUAAUGAGGUCCAUUGAGUACCCUGUACAAUAAAUAAAAAACAUACCAAACUACACCUUUGUGAAGUUUCAGAAAGAAGAGUAGCAUUUAAGAAUGCUUGCAAAGAGGAAAAAUAAAAACAACAAAAUACAAAUCAAACUGUCAUCAUACUUUAAGAUGAAAACUGUAAGCUAGAAGACAAAGGUAUAUAUAAUUCUCUAGAAAUUCUAAGGGAAAAUUAUAUCCAACCGAAGAUUCCAACCUAGUUAAGCUAUCAUCCAAAAGAGGUAGAAUAAGGAUGAUUUUAGACUUGUAAGGACCCCCAAUUUUAUUCCAAGUUAACCUUUCUAAAAUUGCUAACAGAAGACUCUGUUUGUUUUUAAACAAAAAUGAGGGACUAAACCAAGAAAAAAAGAGAAGGCAUAAGUUCCAGGAAACCAGUACUCCAACUUAAGAGGUGAAGGAAAUUCCCAAGAUGAACAUGUGCUGGUUGUUUAUUUUUUUCAGUCCCACACUGAGCCUUCUAUAUGCUUGUCUGUAAUGCUGGGACUGGGAGUCUGCAUACUACAUUUCCCAGGCUCCUUUACCAGUUGGCUUCUUUUUAUUUAUUCACUGACAAACCCAACAUACCCAUUAAUUAUCUCUAGAGUGGAGAAACCUUAUGGACACCAUUUAAAUUAAGUAAUAAAAGUUAACAUCAUCAGUAAUGGGACAUAUUGACAUUGUGCGUCUCCUGAUGAAACUGAGAAGAGAACAGUAUUCCUGAUGGAGUUUUCCUCCCCAAAAUGUUAAAUGAUGACGACACAUCAGAUAAACCCAAAGUGAAGAACAUUACACAAAAUAAGUAACCUGAACUCUCUGAAAGUGUUAAGAUUGUGAACAGGUGGAAUAAACAGCAAAUAGUAAGGUGGUAGAUUUAAACCCAAAUAUUUUAGUAGUUUCAUUUAAUGUAGAGAGAGUAUGUGUCUAUACUUGGGGGUCUGGGACAGAUGAGACCACGCAUCUGUUAACAAAUUAUUUUGCAGUAUUCCUUCUUGCUUUAAAAGCAUGUUGAAUUUGCAUUCUAAUCCACAAUAAACAUGCCUAUUUAAACACAGAAAUCAGUUAAUGUUCUUUAUCAUAUAAUAGGUAUUUUUCUUCUGUCAACCCUCAAAUUAAAUUGAUGCCCCAGAAAGAUGCCCUCUUCUUACCAUUUUACAAACGCCCAACAUGAGGCUCAGAGGUUAAUUUCUGAUACACAGAUGCAAGCCAGAUCUCCCAAGCAGGUGAUCCACAUUCACACAUACACAACACCCAGUCACACCUGCGGCCACAACUCAGCAUCUUCAGCAUCCUCUGCCGCGCCCUCUUCCUCACCUGAGGACCAUCUGGUGCCACCUUAACUCUCACCCUGAGCGCUGCGUGCACCGAGGCCUGGACUCACCCACCGACAAAGAUGAAAUGUCAAGUCAAUGUCUCAACCCCUCUGCAUUCCGAGGGCGAACCAGAACCUAUAGAAAUCUUCCGGGCACGGCGGGCAUUGUAACGGUUGCCAAGACCGACCUCGGAGCUGAGAAGAAUCAGUUCGCCUGCUUUCUGGCCGGGACUACAUUUUUCAUAGGACUUGUGGCUCGGAGCUACUUCCUCCGCGAACUGGUCGUUCCGACCAGUGCGCCCCGGCGCUCACUGGGCUGCCAGGGACGAGGAGGACUGACAACUCCAACAGGCCGACGGGUUCUAUCUGCGAACUGCUCGGCGUAAGGGCCUCGCAGUUUUGUUUGGUGCGGUGGAUGGACUCGGGGAACGGAGGCGCUGUUGUCCGCCUCUGGACUACAUUUCCCAGAGGACCCCGCAGGCCGACGUUGUGUCCCGCGAAACUUAGCCGCUACUUUAUUGAGUGGCUGUGCCUUGGCUGCGCGGAGUUACCUGCUCUGGGACCUUUAGAAUCCUGUACCACUCCGCCAGUUUGGACCGGACCGGACCGGAACCGGGGAAGGACUAAGCUGCUUUCUUGCCAUGCUGUACUUUUCCAGGAGAGGACUCCAGAGAAAUACAACUCAGGUUUACAAUUUUAAAAGCCAUGCACCAGCCUAGGCGUGGGAUAAUGAGAAUGUCUCACUGUACGAAGCUUUGUCUACAGCAACAAGAAUAUUCAAGAAGAUGGAGGGGUUGGUGAUGUUCAGGGACGUGGCUGUGGACGGAGGAGUGGGAGGGCCUGGACUCUACUCAGAGGGGUUUAUACAGAGAUGUGAUGAUGGAGAAUUACAGCAACCUGGUCUUACUGGGACUCUCUAUUCCUAAGCCUGAUGUGAUUUUCUUACUGGAGCAAGGGAAGGAGCCCUGGAUGGUUUUGAGGAGCUUGGCGGGAGGAUGGCGCCCAGGUGAGCAGAUUGAACAGACGGGGAAAGGCGCUGCAGUUAAGAGCCCAGCUGGUGAGGGAGGUCAGCACUUUAAAGGUAUUGACUGAGGAAUCUCUCCCUUGAAGGCCCAUCCAAGGGCUGUGAAGAAAAGGCUUAAGACACAUGGAAAAAAGUGAAGUCCUCCCCUUUUACCCCACCUGUACCCUCUGUGCGAUUCAUCUGUCAUAAUUCCCUCCCAUUUCAAAGCCCUUUUUCUUUAAGAGCCAUCCUGUAUCACAGAACUUGGAUCCACUUCUUUCCCUUUUAAAUUUAAACUUGUGUGUGUUUUUUUUAAAUCUCCUAAAGUGCAUUUCUAAGGCCUACUAUUCAUUUUUCCUACUGAUAACUGACCUUUUUUUUCCUGACUAGUUUUGCUUUGAUGCAGCAAUUCUGUGCAUUAAUGGAUAUUCAUUGACUUUUAAUCAGCAUCUGUCAACUUAAAAAAAUUCAUGUGUCUUCUUUUCUUGGUAGGUGGGAGUUAAAGUAUAUAAACUAUUGUGGGGGAGGGUACAGCUCAGUGGUAGGGUGCAUGCCUAGCUUGCACAAGGUCCUGGGUUUAAUCUAGCACCUCGAUGAAAAAAAAACAAAAACCCAAAACCUAAUUACUACCUCCCCCCCAAAAAACAAGAGACAAGUGAACAAAUAAUAAAUACAUAAAUUAAAAAAAAUUUUUUCAUAUAUAUACUAUUAAGAGAUAGUCUAAUAAAGGGUCUAGAAUAUGGCCAUAAAUAAAUUCCUGAAAAUAGACUCAACUAUAAGACUUCUAACAUGGUGCUGAGAAUAAAGAGCUAAAGAUAUAAAUAUGGGAGAGUGCUGGGAGAAAAGGAUAUGCCUGCUUUUAGGAGGAAAAAGCACACAGAAGUGAUUGAAGAUAGUAACUGUAGAAGAUUUAGAUGUCCAGGAAAAGCGAGACAUCCAUUUUCAAAUAACUUGGUGACAUUCUAAAGUGGGCAGAGACUGGGUUGUAAGUAGCAAAGACUGAUGGGAAUUUUCUUUUGCAAUAUGAGAAAAGAUAAGGCUUUUUAUUUUUUAAAAAUGUGCUUUUAAGUAACAGGAACACUAUCCAUUUUAAAAAGUGUUCUAAUUGUAGGAUAUAGAUGAUUUUUAGUUUUUUUCACAGAACAUUACAAAUGUGUUUUAACACUUUUUUACUUUUUUACGGACAGUGGAGUGGACAUCCCAUGAAUUCAUUUCCUAGCUUCAACAAUUAUCAACAUGUUUUUGCUCUCACUUCAGCUAUCCCCAUUGACCUCUGCAUCCCCCACCCCUGAAGUAUUUUAAAGCAAGUACCAGACUUCAUACAUUUAAGUACUAUUAAAUGUAUACGUUGCUUUUCACAGUUUCUUCCAUUUAAAAUUACUACUCUGAUGUAUCUUUAUUUAGAUGAGUAUUUUCAUAUUUGAUUCUAAGAUGUGAGAUUUCUGGGCCAAAAAAGUUUAAACCUUUUAAAGCUCCUGACAUUCUAUCACAGAAAUGCAUGAUCCAGGGAAGCUGAUUUAAUCAAUCAAUUCAGCCAGGUAUUAACUGUCGCCUUACCUAAAAGUUAAGGGUAAAGUGAAAAAGUGUGAUAUACCACAACCAUUUUAUUUUAACUGAAAUCAUUUAAUUAUGGAUUUUUUUCCACCCAUUUUCUGAUGUCAGGGCCAGGCAUUUUCUUUGAAAAUGGGUCUCCUAUUUGGAGAUCUGCCUUACUGUUCAUCCAUAAUAAACCCAGAAGGCAUGAAUCAUAAUUUAAGCUUUAAAUUUUUUACAUGAAGGGAUUAACAGAUUGUUGCAACCCACUGUGAAUAGAAAAUCCUCUGGGGCUGUGCUGUUCUAUGCAGUAGCCACUGGCUACAUGUGGCUAUUUAAAUUGAACUUCAUAAAGUAAUUAAAAUAAAACAUUUAAUUCUGCAUGCACAAGAGUACCAUUUCUGGUACUCUUCAUUUUUUUCCUGUGGAUUCAAGUUACUUUCUGUUGUCAUCUCCUUGCUCCAAAUAUAGGUUCCUCCUCCUCCUCUACCCUUUGUAUUAUUUUUGUCAUAUAUAUUACAUCUUAUAUGCCAUAAGCCCAGUGAUACAAUUCUCUAAUUGUUUUAUGCAGUUGCCUUUUAAAUUAGUUAAGAGAAAAUAUUACAUAUUUAUACUGCAUUUUAUACUGACCUACAUGAUUACCAGGGAUUUUCAUUUCUUCAUCUAGAUUCAAGUUACCAUUUGGUCUCUUCUCAAGAAGCCUCAAGAACUUCUUUUAUUAUUUCUUGCAAGGCAGGCCUACU